GCCAACAACUGAUCCCAAUGCGAAGAUGCUGGGUUACAAUAAAUCACGUCAUCAGGCAUUGCUAAGGACAUCACAAGUGGAGGAAUGCCACAACUGCUACCGUAAGAACAGCUGCAGACCAGUAGCUGUGGAAGAACCCCUACAGGUUUUAAAAUAUUAACCUAUUCAAGGAAUGUGAAGGAAAUUACUUCAAGGACAACUAUGAAAAACAUUACUUACAUUAUUAUGAAGUUAAAAACAAAUGACCUACUUUUGGCUUUCUUUGA